CACUCGUUAUCUGUCUCUCUCCUCUUUCCACAUACUGCUCUUUCUUAACGUAAGAAGGCAGAAGCAACAGUUAGUGGUCACAUGACCACAAGAGUCUUUCCUCAUUUCAGCGUCAGCUGGCUCCAAGCAGAUGUGAAAUCGAGGCAUGCAGAGCGAUUUCAGCAUGUGAAACAGGAGGCGAGGACAUCCCCCUCUAACGCUGUGCCAGAGAGGAAGAGAGAGAGCGAGCGAGAGCAGAGAGAGAGCCUGACUGAAACCCCAUAAUGCACCGCACGCUGCAGGGCUGAAGUCGUGCAGAUUCAUCAGUUCCUGUUCGAGGGGUUGUCUGUGAGCGCACACGCACUCAUACGCCCAGACCGAAGCAAGAAAAUACACAGACGUCCAGGCAGGUAAGACAGCUUUGCUCUGACCGCACAGAUAGCGCCGAGUUUUUCGAGAUCGUCUGUUUCUCUGUUCGCCCCUGCCAAGUGAGAAGAGAAGAGUGGCUCUAUACAGAUGCCAGGCUGUGAUUAAUAUUUGACAUGUUAUGAUCCCGACAACUUCUUUGCCUGUUGCUUGUGACUGCUGCUAAAUUCUGUCUCAAAAAACCUGAAACUAGGAUUAUUCAAGAGGAAGAGUAUAUUAAAUAGAGCGGAAUCAAAAUAGUUGAUAUGCCUGUGAUAUAUCCAUGUUAGUUUUUGGCUGUUACUUGGCUUGGUAUUUGCAUGUUUUUUUCCUUUGAUCUAGCAGAUUUGUUUAACUGUAGCCAGUUUGAAUACACUGGGGGCGAUUUUUGUGCGCGCUUGUGUUCAGAUAGUGCUGGUUAACAUGAUGAAACUUUCAGGAAAUUACAAACUGUAAAGCACUGUCAUUCUGGACAGUUAAAUUCAUCAGAUAAGCAGCGUAACAAGUUCAUUUUAUACUAAAACAGAUAUUUUUUUUAUUGGACAAAAAUAUAUUUAUCUAUUAAAAAGACAACAAUUAUACAGUUAUGUAAAACGUAUCAGUUUUUAAGGUAGUCUACUGUACAUGCCCUAAAUGACACUGUUGUAAGCUGACAGGUAAAAGGGUAGCUUUUGUUUUACGGGUCAUUUUGCGGUUUAACUGUCACAGAGGCUUGUGACCAUAUCUCUUGCGCCAGAGACUCAGGCAACCUGAAAAGCGCAAUUGCAUCACCUUAGCGCACACACUCUUAAACUUUUUAACCUCAGGACUCAACUGAGAAGUCUCCCCUCUGGGACUCAAGUGUAAAAUCAUGUUUCAACAAUGUUAAGUGGAAAGACAAAAAAACCCAAAAUCAGUCAGUAAAACUGCUUAUUUUGGAUUAAAUCAUAAUUCCAGAAAGACAUCUUUUGAAUGUGUUUUCUGAGGAAAACACACAAAAGAGCCCUCAAAGGAGCUAUGACACGAGGAACUAUAUUUGUGUAUCUUGCUCCUUUUGGAAACAAUUAUGUAGAUAUGGGAUCUGUUUUUGCUGAACAUUAACAGGCUAUGCAAAGAGCUUUUUGCAAAUAAAAUGUAAAAAAGGACAGAAAAAAAGAAACU
rnacentral:lncRNA from 1 species